rnacentral:rRNA from 1 species
GAUGAACGCUGGCGGCGUGGAUAAGGCAUGCAAGUCAAACGAUCCCUUCGGGGAUAGUGGCAAACGGGGUAGUAACAGGUAGGAACGAACCCAGAAGUCAGGAAUAACUAAUCGAAAGGUUAGCUAAUACUUGAUAGUCUCUUCGGAGUAAAGAUUUAUCGCUUCUGGAUCGGCCUGCCUCGUAUCAGCUAGUUGGUAGGGUAAUUGCCUACCAAGGCUAUGACGCGUAGGGGAGGUGAGAGCCUGACCCCCACCAUUGGCACUGCGACACUGGCCAAACACCUACGGGUGGCUGCAGUCGAGAAUCUUCCGCAAUGCACGAAAGUGUGACGGAGCGACGCCGCGUGGUUGAUGAAGUCCUUCGGGAUGUAAAAACCUUUUCUCAAGGAGGAAGUUUAUUGACGUUACUUGAGGAAUAAGGGGUUGCUAAACUCGUGCCAGCAGCAGCGGUAAUACGAGUGCCCCAAGCGUUAUCCGGAAUUAUUGGGCGUAAAGGGUGUGUAGGUGGUUGUAUUAGUCUCACGUAAAAGCCUCCGGCUUAACUGGAGAUCUGCGAGGGAAACGGUACAACUUGAGGAUGCGAGGGGUGUACGGAACUCAUGGUGUAGGGGUGAAAUCCGUUGAUAUCAUGGGGAACACCAAAAGCGAAGGCAGUGCACUGGCGCAUAUCUGACACUGAGACACGAAAGCUAGGGUAGCGAACGGGAUUAGAUACCCCGGUAGUCCUAGCCCUAAACGAUGAUCGCUGGUUUUUCGGAGUAUCGACCCUCUGAGAGACGAAGCUAACGCGUUAAGCGAUCCGCCUGGGUAGUACGGCCGCAAGGCUAAAACUCAAAGGAAUAGACGGGGACUUGCACAAGCAGUGGAUCAUGCGGUUUAAUUCGAUGAUAAACGAAGAACCUUACCAAGGUUUGAAACCUAACUGAAAGCUCCAGGAAAUUGGAGCCCUCUUCGGACAGUUAGGCAGGUGUUGCAUGGCCGUCGUCAGUUCGUGGUUUGAACUGUUCCCUUAAGUGGGGUAACGAACGCAACCCUCGCUGCCAGUUAUACGUGUCUGGCGGGACUGCCCCCUCAUUUGGUACUACAUUAAGUUUGGUACUAAGUGAGGGGGAGGAAGGCGAGGAUGACGCCAGGUCAGCAUGACCCUUUGACACCUUGGGCUACACGCAUGAUACAAUGGCGACUACAACAGGUUGCGACAGGGAAACCUUGAGCUAAUCCUAAAAAGUCGCCUCAGUUCGGAUUGAGGGCUGAAACUCGACCUCAUGAAGUUGGAAUUGCUAGUAAUCGCGGGUCAGCUAUACCGCGGUGAAUACGUUCUCAAGUCU